UGGCGGCAGGCUUAACACAUGCAAGUCGAACGGGCGUAGCAAUACGUCAGUGGCAGACGGGUGAGUAACGCGUGGGAACGUACCUUUUGGUUCGGAACAACACAGGGAAACUUGUGCUAAUACCGGAUAAGCCCUUACGGGGAAAGAUUUAUCGCCGAAAGAUCGGCCCGCGUCUGAUUAGCUAGUUGGUGAGGUAACGGCUCACCAAGGCGACGAUCAGUAGCUGGUCUGAGAGGAUGAUCAGCCACAUUGGGACUGAGACACGGCCCAAACUCCUACGGGAGGCAGCAGUGGGGAAUAUUGGACAAUGGGCGCAAGCCUGAUCCAGCCAUGCCGCGUGAGUGAUGAAGGCCCUAGGGUUGUAAAGCUCUUUUGUGCGGGAAGAUAAUGACGGUACCGCAAGAAUAAGCCCCGGCUAACUUCGUGCCAGCGGCCGCGGUAAUACGAAGGGGGCUAGCGUUGCUCGGAAUCACUGGGCGUAAAGGGUGCGUAGGCGGGUCUUUAAGUCAGAGGUGAAAUCCUGGAGCUCAACUCCAGAACUGCCUUUGAUACUGAGGAUCUUGAGUUCGGGAGAGGUGAGUGGAACUGCGAGUGUAGAGGUGAAAUUCGUAGAUAUUCGCAAGAACACCAGUGGCGAAGGCGGCUCACUGGCCCGAUACUGACGCUGAGGCACGAAAGC
rnacentral:rRNA from 1 species